GCUGGGCUCAGCGGCGAAUGCCUGUAAUCCCAGCAGCUCGGGAGGCUGAGGUAGGAGGAUCACAAGUUCAAAGUCAUCCUCAGCAACUUAGUGAAGUGCUAAGCAACUCAGUGAGACCUUGUCUCUA
rnacentral:sRNA from 1 species